rnacentral:rRNA from 1 species
GACGAACGCUGGCGGCGUGCCUAACACAUGCAAGUCGAACGCAGUAUAUUUUCGGAUAUGCUUAGUGGCGGACGGGUGAGUAACGCGUGAACAAGCUGCCCUAUACAGAGGAAUAGCCUCGGGAAACCGGGAUUAAAACCGCAUAACGCUUUAGUAUCGCAUGGUACAGAAGGCAACUUGAUUUAGCGGUAUAGGAUGAGUCUAUGGCGCAUUAGUUAGUUGGCGGGGUAAUGGCCCACCAAGACGAUGAUGCGUAGCCGAUCUGAGAGGAUGACCGGCCACACUGGGACUGAGACACGGCCCAGACUCCUACGGGAGGCAGCAGUAGGGAAUUUUCGGCAAUGGGCGAAAGCCUGACCGAGCAACGCCGCGUGAGUGAUGAAGGCCUUCGGGUUGUAAAGCUCUGUUGUUAGGGAAGAAUGAUCAGGAUAGGAAAUGAUCUUGAAGUGACGGUACCUAACCAGAAAGCCACGGCUAACUACGUGCCAGCAGCCGCCGUAAUAC